GACAGAGGGUGCAAACGUUGUUCGGAAUCACUGGGCGUAAAGCGCGUGUAGGCGGCAAUGCAAGUCGGAUGUGAAAUCCCGCGGCUCAACCGUGGAAGUGCACCCGAAACUGCAUAGCUAGAGUGUCGGAGAGGAAGGUGGAAUGCUUGGUGUAGAGGUGAAAUUCGUAGAUAUCAAGCGGAACACCGGUGGCGAAGGCGGCCUCUGGACGACGACUGACGCUGAGACGCGAAAGCGUGGGUAGCAAACAGG
rnacentral:rRNA from 1 species